rnacentral:tRNA from 1 species
GCCGACGUACCCGACCGGCGGGCGGCGCUGGCCGCGCGGAUGCGUGCCGUCGAGCAGCACGCCGCGGUCGUGCUCGCGGUGUCGGUG